GCUGGCUUCAAACUUUAAUCAUCAGAUCUCUGCCUCCUAAAUAGCUAGGAUUAUAGGCAUGAGCCACUGUGGCUGGUUAAUACCUUUUAUAAAACAGGACAAGUGCAUUCUUCAAAGUGCUUUCUGGAACCACGUCCUGUUCUAGCGGCUAAGGCAGGGAGGAUGAGCAGGAAUUACCCUCAAGAAAACUGAUAUCAAGGAACUUAAAUGAUUUAACUAAACAAUUGAUAAAACUGGCCCAACUGAUUCUUCAUCCAGCUGAAAAUAACACAGUCUGAAAAUAAAAGCUCCCAUUAAAAACAUGUGGCCACAGAAUGAGU